rnacentral:rRNA from 1 species
GGAUAACCUGCCCUUAGGUCUGGCAUAACCCCGGGAAACUGGGGAUAAUUCCGGAUAGAUCAUCGAUGCUGGAAUGCGCUUUGAUCCAAAGCUAUUGUGCCUAAGGAUGGGUCUGCGGUCUAUCAGGUUGUAGUGGGUGUAAUGUACCUACUAGCCUACGACGGAUACGGGUUGUGGGAGCAAGAGCCCGGAGAUGGAUUCUGAGACAUGAAUCCAGGCCCUACGGGGCGCAGCAGGCGCGAAAACUUUACAAUGCGGGGAACCGCGAUAAGGGGACACCGAGUGCCAGCAUCCUAUGUUGGCUGUCCAUAUGUCUAAAUCACAUGUGUUAGCAAGGGCCGGGCAAGACCGGUGCCAGCCGCCGCGGUAACACCGGCGGCCCGAGUGGUGGCCACUAUUAUUGGGUCUAAAGGGUCCGUAGCCGGUUUGGUCAGUCUUCCGGGAAAUCUGACGGCUCAACCGUUAGGCUUUCGGGGGAUACUACCAGGCUUGGGACCGGGAGAGGUAAGAGGUACUACGGGGGUAGGAGUGAAAUCUUGUAAUCCCUGUGGGACCACCAGUGGCGAAGGCGUCUUACCAGAACGGGUCCGACGGUGAGGGACGAAAGCUGGGGGCACGAACCGGAUUAGAUACCCGGGUAGUCCCAGCUGUAAACUAUGCUCGCUAGGUGUCAGGGACGGUGCGACCGUUUCUGGUGCCGCAGGGAAGCCGUGAAGCGAGCCACCUGGGAAGUACGGUCGCAAGGCUGAAACUUAA